CAGUCUUUUGAAAGAAGCUGGUGAGAGAGGGAUGGUGACAGCCAUAUCACCCUCUUUUCUGUGCCCUCACCUACCACUGUGCCUGGCUCUCCUUCCUCUGUACACUGCACUCAUGUUACACCAGCCUGCCAACAGCAUUCACUACUGUGUACUUACAGACAUAAUGGCCAGCAAGCUGUCUGGCAUCCAUUGUGGAAGGGCCAUCAUCAAGAGGUUUAGAUACAAAUGACAGACAU